GCUGGGUAUGGUGGUGCACACCUGUAGUCCCAGCUACCAGGAGGCUGAGGUGGGAGGAUCACCUGAGCCCAGGUGGUCAAGGUUGCAGUGAGCCAUGAUGGUGCCACUGCACUCCAGCCUGGGCGACAGAGUGAGACUUUGUCUCAA
rnacentral:SRP_RNA from 1 species